GAUGAACGCUGGCGGCGUGCUUAAUACAUGCAAGUCGAACGGAAAGGCCCUGCUCUUGCGGGGUGCUCGAUUGGCGAACGGGUGAGUAACACGCGAGUAACCUGUCCCUGUCUUUGGGAUAACUUUAGGAAACAGGGGCUCAUACCGCAUAGGAGCUCCUGCUGCAUGGUGGGGGUUGGAAAGUUUCGGCGGUUGUGGAUGGACUCGCGGCUUAUCAGCUUGUUGGUGAGGUAGUGGCUUACCAAGGCUUCGACGGAUAGCCGGCCUGAGAGGUUGACCGGGCACAUGAGGACUGAGGUACGGCCCAGACUCCUACGGGAGGCAGCAGUGGGGAGUAUUGCACAGUGGGCGGAAGCCUGAUACAGCGGCGCCGCGUGCGGAAUGACGGCCUUCGGGUUGUGAACCGCUUUCGCCUGUGACGAAGCGUGAGUGACGGUAAUGGGUAAAGAAGCACCGGCUAACUACGUG
rnacentral:rRNA from 1 species